CUGUGUGCAUCGUCUGGAGGUUGGCGUAGACGCGUGACCGCUAAGCUUUGGACGGACAAGAGGGAAAAGGAUGCAGCAUCUCUUUUUUUCUUUUCUUCCCAUUUCUCCUUUCAUGAUGCUCCUCUUUUUUGCCAGUUUUAUUUCCGAUCUGUCCGCACUAAAGACAAAAAUCAAUAAGAUUGGGCCUCUGGCACAAGAACACUUAAGACAAGGUUUUUAUCAGGAAUGCAGCGGUCAACGAGAGGAGAAGAUCCCCCAGUGAGACGAGCCCUGGGAAAAUCCUCAAAGUCAGACACUGCUUGUAAGCCAUCCAAUGCAGGCGCUGCAGGUGACAAAGACGCAGACUGCGACAGCGCCAGGAACAAGCGACGGCGGCCUUUUCCAGGACUUACUGUUGUCCUUUUAGCAAGUGAGGACAAGUGCGUGCUCGAUUGUCCCUGAGACCCUUAACCUGUGAUGAUAUGAAAGGUCACAGGUGAGGUCCUUGGGAACAAAGACGCAUGCUGGUGCAUCCGCAGGCCACGACGUCCUCGAUGGAAACACGACAUGCAAGUCCUAAAGGGUGCUUCGAACACAAAAAAGACAGCCAAAGGUUGUGACCCUGGAAAUUAUGUUGAACAUAUUUCAUGCAGCAAUUCAUAAAUGUAAUAUUACAAAUUAUAUGAUUAAAAUACAUUUGGAGACUGACACUUGUUUGUUCUCUUACAGUAUAUAUGAGAAUUUAAUGCGCAAGUGUGUUUUUUAGAUAUUUCCUCUACACCUUAACAUACAUGACCCAUGGCAGUUUAUCAGAGCCAACAGGUGAAAAAAUUAAAGCAACCUGCUUGGUUUUUAUGUGGCACACACCCACCAUGACAUGUAGCCCCAGUGUGUUUGUGCAUCCCGGUGUAGUUGACAUUG